UGGUCAGUAGCAAUCUCCAUUCUUUCUGCUCACACUGAAUGAAACAGUCUGAGACGGGAUAAACGGGAACCAAAAAGAUGAAAUCCUUCUUGCUGGUCACGCUUCUUCUCUUUGUGGUCGCAGCAAGCGCGAUGCCGCAGCAACAGGCCCAAAAAAGGUUGUUUGAUCGCGGUUUAGGCUGUGCUGAGAUGGGACAGGAUUGCACCGGUAAGGGGUGCUGUCACGGCUAUUGCAAGGUGGCUUUCGUUGGUUCAAUUUGUAUGGAAGGAAUUGGGCGCUGAAACCCAGUGUGUUACCAAGUCCAUCAGAGUUCGACAUGACCAAGAUUAUCAUAUUUCUGAUUUCGAAUACAAUCGUUUUCUGCCGAAAUAAAUUAGGCUUCAUAAAUAACAACUAGCAUUUGACUCGUCGGUGUACCCAGUUUGGAAGUGGGUCAGCUGCCGGGGUCAACUGUCCGGAACUGGGCGCCCCGACCUUAGGCCCCGUCAAUGUCUUGACUUUCAACGGGUAGCCUUUUGUGGCCCGCAUCAGGAAGGAAUGAACCUGACGAAGUUCCCGAAGCCAAACUUCCCUCGCCAAGCAUCCAGGCCAGUGCUCAGUUACCAAGAUAGACGAAAGUGAGAAUUUUCCUCCCGGGUUGUCGGUAAUAUGGCAGCCGUCGCCACUGGAUUCGAGACGUGUGGUUGAAGGAAUCUGCAGGACCAUGCAUGCAUAACACGUUGUGAGAAGGGACGGGAAUGACGUGUCCUUCUAAACAAGCCGGCUGUCACGGAAGUUUUUAGUUUUGUUCCUGUUUUGAACAAAUAAAAAGA